GCUCGCUUCGGCAGCACAUAUACUAAAACUGGAAUGGUACAGAGAUUAGCAUGGCCUCUGUGUAAGGAUGGCAUGCAAAUUCAUAAUGUGUUCCAUAUUUUU
rnacentral:snRNA from 1 species